CUCCUGAUGGUGUAGUUGGUUCAUCACGUUCGACUGUAAUUGAAUAUUGUCAUCGAAAGGUCCCUAGUUCGAUUCUGGGUCGGGAGA